CAGCGUCUUUCGCUCCGCCCGCUCUCCCUGCCAUGUGGUGGCCGGGCGAGGGCCUCGGGGUAGCAC
rnacentral:pre_miRNA from 1 species